CCUUCUCGGCGAGGUCAAUCAAGUUGUGCUUGGUUGAUAACCAACAGAGCAGUAGUGUAGCGGUUGCAGGGUUUGAAUCGUGCUGAUUUGAAGUCGGAUCGUCAACAUCAAGUCCUCCACCAAUCGAACGUACCUUUACCUCUCGAAAAAUCGGGCCUAGUCCUCAUCAAGUGGUAUUAGAUAUUGAGGUUUCCCGUGAGGUAUUACCCUUCGUUUUCCCCUUAGAUUCGUUUUGUGUCAUAUCUCUAUAUCGACACAAAAAGAGCCUACAAAAAAAUUUCGCUGACCUAGAACCUUUUUGGCCUUGGCAAUUUCGUUUUCGAUUCACUUUGUUGAGUUUGUGUCCGUGGUCGAGUCUUGUUGCUGGUUCAAUGUGUUUGUCGUCGGAGUUCAACCGCUCGUUGCCGUGUGUUUGUUUCCACCGCUGUCCGACUCCAACUUUACCUAAACAACAAGUCGAUCCACCCUAUUACUCGACUUGCCCUCACUAGCCGCCUUGUGUGACUUCCUACCGCGCCAGCCCUAGAUAGGUUGCAAGCCGCCUUGUGCCUUCACCUUGCAUCGCAGGCCUCCCUUGAUUCAUCUUGCAUAUCCUAUUUAUGCAUCCACCAGGGAUACUUUGCCCUAACUGAGAAGCUUUGCUCAGCCGUGUUCUGUGCCGGGGUUCAGGGAAGAUUUGCCUUAGCCGCCGCCGCCGCCCUAUCUGCCAAGUUGUGCCAUCUCAAUCCUUCGGUAAAACAAGUAUAACUUUUCACUCGGUGCUCCGUUUUGGCUCAAAUUUUUACAAUAGAAAGGUGAUGAAUUUUUGCACAUAGGAUUAAACCGCUUCGCCGUUUGGAGCCGAUCUCAGAAUUGCAAAAAAAAAAUCAUAAAGAUGGAGUUUGAGGCUCCUAAGUUGUUUUCAGGUUUUCAAGAAACAUGCCUUAUUUUCUGUAGACCACAUCCCAGCUCUGUUUAAGGUGCAAAAUUUUUUGGUUGGAGCUUGUGUUACAUCUGUUCGGAUAAAAAUAUAAAAAAUAGUUUAAUAAAAUAAGAAAUCUUGGUUCCUACUAGUCUUGGAGGUAGUUCGGCGAAAAGAUUAAAAACAAGUGCAUAAAGUGUUGUUUUGCUUGUUCUGUAAGUUUUAUCCACCGUCCUUUGUUCCAACUUAUUGUGCUAUACCUAGGACAUGUCUUAGCCAGCAAUUGUGACUUGUACUUUGGAUACUUAUUGAACUUUGCUACUCUGCAUUCGUUAUUUGCUACUCCUUGCUACAUAUUAUGCCUGUCCCAAAUCUCCCCAUAUACUUCGGUCUGUACAUGUUCAUCUUGCAACUGUUACACCCAGCUCGGCAACAGAUUGUACCAUCCUAUUUGGCUUUGGUAAGAACACUUGCAAAAUGGUGGUUAGCUACUUGAGAUUUUGCACUCCACUUUCACCACCACCCAGUAGUUGUUAGUUGAUAGGGAUAAUACCUUGGUGUUGUCUUUUGCUGUCUUUUAACCAUGACAGGGUCAGGGAAAGGAGUGGAGUCCCCUUCGGACUUCAAUGAAUGUGUCUCGAAGGACGAGCUUCAGAGACUUUUUGAUGACCAGUGCAUCUACAUGACGGGAAAUUUGAUGACCUGAUGCGCAAUAUCAAUGGCCUGGUUACCCGGAUUGAACAUGUUGAACAAUGGCCUCCUUCACAGCGGCAUCGAUGACGACCUCAUGGUGAUGAGGAAGAGGACGAGGAUGCCGACUUUGAUGAUGAUGAUGCUCGUGAUGCAGACCGCCUUCGGUGCAAUCGUCAAGGUAUGGAAGGUAAUUAUAAUCGUGGUAACCAUGAUCCUUUUGCUAAAGCUAAAUUUACCAUGAUUCUUUUUGCUGGUACUGCUGAUCCUGAGGCUUAUUUUGAUAUGGAACUUGCUGUUGAACAAAAGUUUAAUUCUCAUUUAGUUCCUGCUGAGCAUAGAAUUAGACUUGCUACUAGUGAUUUACUAGCUUUGCUCUAUUUUGGUGGAAUGAUCUUUGCAAUGCUAGUAAUGCUGCUAUCGUGCCUCAAACUUGGCCUGUUUUAAAACAACGCAUGAAAUCUCGUUUUGUUCCUCCUUAUUGCCAAUAUGAUUUACGUUUAAAAUUACAAACUUUAAAACAAGGUGACAAAGGAGUAGAGGAAUAUUAUCAAGAAUUACUUAUUGGUCUAGCACGUUGUGGUAUUCGUGAGGAUGAUGAUGAAAGUAGUGCUAGAUUCUUUGGUGGUUUAAAUCGUGAUAUACAGAACAUUCUAGAUUACAAAGAAUGGACUUGUUUUUCCCAAUUGUAUCAUCUUGCUCUUAAGGCCAAACGGGAAGUAUAGGGACGCCGCCAAGACCAACUUUCUUUCAGGUCCAACACUGGGAGAUGGGUUUUAGCAGCGUUCAGACAUUGAGAAGCCCAAGGCGUCUGUUGCUAAGCCACCAGCAACACCUCCAGCUCCUGCGCCCGCUUCUGAGGUAAGCAAUGUGUCUACUGUGCAGACCCAACAACACAAGAAGCAUACUACUAUUGGAAAGGGUUCUUUGAGUAGAUCUACAAACAUUGUGUGCCACCACUGCAAGGGAAUGGGACAUGUCAUGAAGGAUUGUCCAAGUACUCGCGCUUUCAUCACUGCACCUGAUGGCAAUGGAUAUGUAUGUGCUAGUGAUGUUGAUGAUGAUUUAGUUCUUGCAACUAACAUUGUUGCAGAUUCAGAGGAAGAAGAGGGUGAGACAAUUGAUUUCUUAGCUGCAUCGGUGGGUUUUCCUAGCCUUCUUGUGCAGCAUGUGUUGAGUUCUAAAGCGGAACAUGAGGAUGAGGAGAAGCUCCAACAUAAGAAUUUGUUCCACAAGUUUCUCAUUGUUAAGGAUUGUCGUGUUCUCACCAUAAUUGAUAGCAGGAGUUGAAGCAACUUGGUGAGUUCAGAUUUGGUCAAGAAGCUUGACUUGACCACUCGUUCUAUCCCUCACCCCUACCACCUAGAAUGGUUCAACAAUAGUGGUAAGGCUAAGAUUGAUGAUGUGAUGGAGUCGAGGAUGACUCCAAUUCAAGAAGGGGAGAAUGAUGAGACAUCACCAAGCUGGACAUGCAUGAGCCGGCCUCAUCACCAAGUUUCAAAUCGUCGCCAAGUUGGACAGCGAGUUCGGUUCGGAUUCAGCCGACAUGCCUGUACCAAAACAACGAUAUCUCCCUCAUACGGCGUCCAAAUAAGGCAUUCUUGGAUGCGUUGGAAUCAUUACGACAAGACACUUCUUUUGGUUCUGGUCUUAGCUCCAGAAACCUCAUGGACCAUUCUGUGUGACCACAGAAAGGUGCUGCAUCACCUGUUUUGGACCUUUUCAGGCAUUGUAUCUUGUCGAGCCUUAAGCCCAUAUUGUGAGCACCCUACCCUGGUUGUCCAACCCUAGGACGCCCCUGCUUUCCCCAUAAACUCUGUAGCCGCCACCACUUAGACUUGAGUUUUGUUUAGUUCAUGUGUUUUUCUUCGAGAAAACAAAGAUUGCAUCGUUGUAUCUGUAGCGACAAGUCCUUUCGAAUCGUGUGCUUGAACCCCUCUUGAGAUUCACUUCAUUCAUAUUUGUAAUUAUCA